rnacentral:rRNA from 1 species
AGAGUUUGAUCCUGGCUCAGGACGAACGCUGGCGGCGCGCGUAACACAUGCAAGUCGAACGAGCGAGAGAGCUUGCUUUCUCGAGCGAGUGGCGAACGGGUGAGUAACGCGUGAGGAACCUGCCUCAAAGAGGGGGACAACAGUUGGAAACGACUGCUAAUACCGCAUAAGCCCACAGCUCGGCAUCGAGCAGAGGGAAAAGGAGCAAUCCGCUUUGAGAUGGCCUCGCGUCCGAUUAGCUGGUUGGUGAGGUAACGGCCCACCAAGGCGACGAUCGGUAGCCGGACUGAGAGGUUGAACGGCCACAUUGGGACUGAGACACGGCCCAGACUCCUACGGGAGGCAGCAGUGGGGAAUAUUGCACAAUGGGGGAAACCCUGAUGCAGCGACGCCGCGUGGAGGAAGAAGGUCUUCGGAUUGUACACUCCUGUUGUUGAGGAAGAUAAUGACGGUACUCAACAAGGAAGUGACGGCUAACUACGUGCCAGCAGCCGCGGUAAAACGUAGGUCACAAGCGUUGUCCGGAAUUACUGGGUGUAAAGGGAGCGCAGGCGGGAAGACAAGUUGGAAGUGAAAUCUAUGGGCUCAACCCAUAAACUGCUUUCAAAACUGUUUUUCUUGAGUAGUGCAGAGGUAGGCGGAAUUCCCGGUGUAGCGGUGGAAUGCGUAGAUAUCGGGAGGAACACCAGUGGCGAAGGCGGCCUACUGGGCACCAACUGACGCUGAGGCUCGAAAGUGUGGGUAGCAAACAGGAUUAGAUACCCUGGUAGUCCACACCGUAAACGAUGAUUACUAGGUGUUGGAGGAUUGACCCCUUCAGUGCCGCAGUU